GAUAGAGACGUAUGUAACCCAGGCUGGCCUGGGACUUGGUAUGCAACCAAGGAUGGACCUGAUCUCCUAAUCCUCCUGUCUCCUCCUCCUGCUGGGAUUACAGGCACCAACAGCCACCAGCCGCGCCCGCAAUGUGUGGUCCUGAAGAUUGAACCCAGGCCUUUGUGCACCCUAGAUAUUGGGUAGACGUGUCUGGAACAAUAUAAUGUGAGAAACUCUGAAGAGGAUGAAGAUACACAAUAUGUAACCAUGACUGCCAGCGCCUGUGGAAGUCAGAGGCAUAAGAUCCCUGGGAGCCGGAUUUACAGGCAGUUGUGAGCCACUGGACAUGGAUACUGAGAAUGGAAAUCAGGUCUUCUGCAAGAGUAAUAUGUGUUCUUCGCUGCAGAGGCAUCUCUCUGGAUCUCAUUUAUGUUUUGUGAGACACUAUUUUUUUUUAGGUGACAGGAAUAUGUAAUGUUAAAAAUGAAAGUGGUAUUGACUGUUCUGUCAAAACUUCGGUUCCCCCCCCCCCCCAAUUUAAUUGAUUUCUAGAACUUUCUAAAUAAAUAGUUAUGGUUCAUGAACAGGG